AUGGAAGCUCCCUGUGCAAGCAUGUAUCUGAAAAGAGCAGCAGGAGGCAGGUGCCUAAUGCGGUCUUGUACAGGGAAAUCCCCGUGUCACGGAGCAGUGAGGGAAGCAGCUGGGAGAGCAAGAGGAGUGAGGAACAGCCUUGCAGGCGCCAAGGUCAGUGAAGAAGGAGGGGGAGAGGUACUCCAGGUGCUGGAGCAGAAGUCCCCGGCGGCCUGUGGCAAGGACCAUGGUGAAGCAGGCUGUCCCCCUGCAGCCCAUGGUGGGGUACGGUUCCUUAUUUGGGGGUUCUAUUUUAAUCUCUAGAUAUAUCAAGGCAUUUGCGUAGCUGUCCAGAGGAUUCACAAAGAGCCUCAGCAUGCAUGGCAAGGGCCUUGACUGCAUAAGGGCAGUAUGAGGAAGAGGCUGAGCAGGGUCACCUUUUUCAUCUGGAGAGGAUAAGUCUGUGAUUGCCCCUGCUGGGGCUGCUGUGCAUUCAUGGCCUUUUGGCCUUUGUGGACCUGAGGGUGUUUCUUUUCUGGCUCUAGUCUCUGUGCUUGAGACCUCUGCAAGGAGCUGUACUGUUUGCGUGUCCAUCACGGGCCUGACCUUCUCUCUCUUUCUUGUAGGCCUUGUCAUGGGCAUGGACUAAGCUGGAAACUUGAAAGAGGCACGAGGGUGAGUAGAUGGCAGUGUGGGCCCUGAGUUGGUGGGUGGAUUGUUAGUCUGUUUGGCCUGUUGGGCAGGCUUUGCAAGCACUUGUGACAGCAUUGUGCAUCUCCUGCCAUGUUCCUGAGGGGUGUCAGUGGGUCCAGUUCCUGAAAUGCUGACCCAUCAGCAUAGCCUUUUGGUUUUCAGAUAGCCUGCUCAAGUGUGUGAUUUUUCCUGUGAGUGAUGUUAUUUCAUGGAAUUGGCUUUUCUUUUUUGGCGUGUAAUCUGUGGUGCUCCUAGAUUUUUCUUCCUAUGUAAAGGAAAGUUUUAAUGCCAGCUGAAGAUGAUCAGUUACUUGCUUGGUCAUAUUGUCCUCUCAAUUUUCAAAGCUGAAGCAGAAGCCUGGGGAUUGUUGCUUCUAGAAACACCCCAGUUCUCUUGUCUGCACUCUGUAUGGUGUUGAGGUGAAAACGAGAUAAAAGAACCACAGCUGCUGCUUGUCCUGCUCUCUACUUUGUUGUUUCUUGCCCCUCCCCUUCCCCAGUGUCCUGGUUCCAGUUAGGACAGAGUUAAUUUUCCCUCAUAGUAGCUGGUAGGGUGCUAUGUUUUGGA
rnacentral:lncRNA from 1 species